GAGGCUGUGGCUCAGUGGUAGAACAUCUACUCAGCAUGCAAGAAGGUCCCAGGUUCAAUCUAUGGCAUCUUCA
rnacentral:tRNA from 1 species